GCUCAAAUUUGAAAUCUGGCACCUUCGGUGUCCGAGUUGUAAUUUGAAGAUUGUAACCUUGGGGUUGGCUCUUGUCUAUGUUUCUUGGAACAGGACGUCACAGAGGGUGAGAAUCCCGUGCGAUGAGAUGCCCAAUCCUAUGUAAGGUGCUUUCGAAGAGUCGAGUUGUUUGGGAAUGCAGCUCUAAGUGGGUGGUAAAUUCCAUCUAAAGCUAAAUAUUGGCGAGAGACCGAUAGCGAACAAGUACAGUGAUGGAAAGAUGAAAAGAACUUUGAAAAGAGAGUGAAAAAGUACGUGAAAUUGUUGAAAGGGAAGGGUUUGAGAUCAGACUCGAUAUUUUGUGAGCCUUGCCUUCGUGGCGGGGUGACCCGCAGCUUAUCGGGCCAGCAUCGGUUUGGGCGGUAGGAUAAUGGCGUAGGAAUGUGACUUUGCUUCGGUGAAGUGUUAUAGCCUGCGUUGAUGCUGCCUGCCUAGACCGAGGACUGCGAUUUUAUCAAGGAUGCUGGCAUAAUGAUCCCAAACCGCCCGUCUUG
rnacentral:rRNA from 1 species